AGUGAACGCUGGCGGCAGGCCUAACACAUGCAAGUCGAACGGCAGCACAGGGGAGCUUGCUCCCUGGGUGGCGAGUGGCGGACGGGUGAGGAAUACAUCGGAAUCUACUCUGUCGUGGGGGAUAACGUAGGGAAACUUACGCUAAUACCGCAUACGACCUCCGGGUGAAAGCAGGGGAUCGCAAGACCUUGCUCGAUUGGAUGAGCCGAUGUCCGAUUAGCUAGUUGGCGGGGUAAAGGCCCACCAAGUCGACGAUCGGUAGCUGGUCUGAGAGGAUGAUCGGCCACACUGGAACUGAGACACGGUCCAGACUCCUACGGGAGGCAGCAGUGGGGAAUAUUGGACAAUGGGCGAAAGCCUGAUCCAGCCAUGCCGCGUGGGUGAAGAAGGCCUUCGGGUUGUAAAGCCCUUUUGUUGGGAAAGAAAACUUUCCGGUUAAUACCCGGAGAGAAUGACGGUACCCAAAGAAUAAGCACCGGCUAACUUCGUG
rnacentral:rRNA from 1 species